AGCGAACGCUGGCGGUAGGCCUAACACAUGCAAGUCGAACGGCAGCACAGUAAGAGCUUGCUCUUACGGGUGGCGAGUGGCGGACGGGUGAGGAAUACAUCGGAAUCUACUUUUUCGUGGGGGAUAACGUAGGGAAACUUACGCUAAUACCGCAUACGACCUACGGGUGAAAGCAGUGGAUCUUCGGACCUUGCGCGAUUGAAUGAGCCGAUGUCGGAUUAGCUAGUUGGCGAGGUAAAGGCCCACCAAGGCGACGAUCCGUAGCUGGUCUGAGAGGAUGAUCAGCCACACUGGAACUGAGACACGGUCCAGACUACUACGGGAGGCAGCAGUGGGGAAUAUUGGACAAUGGGCGCAAGCCUGAUCCAGCCAUACCGCGUGGGUGAAGAAGGCCUUCGGGUUGUAAAGCCCUUUUGUUGGGAAAGAAAAGCAGCAGGUUAAUACCCCGCUGUUCUGACGGUACCCAAAGAAUAAGCACCGGCUAACUUCGUG
rnacentral:rRNA from 1 species